UAUAAUUUUUUUAAGAUAAAGAAGCAGUUUUUCUUGAAUAUUCUGCCAACAUUUUUUUGUUUUUAUUUUUCUUAACGUUUUAUUAUUUUCUUAAAAGAAGCAUUAUUAUCCUUAUUUCUUUUUGUGUGUUCUACCCAAAUAUUACUAACUCUCAUAUAUAUGCACUUACUUAAGAUUCUAAACGUCUGAUUUCUACUACAUUUGUUUCUUCCUAUAGAAUUAUAUCAUCUAAAUCAUUGUGUGGCGGUUUCCUUCAUUUAUAAUGGAAAACGUUUUCUCCAUUCAAUUAGCUAAUUAUAUGUCUAAUUUUUAGCAUGCAAAUGAAAGUCAUUAUCAAAUUCAUUAUUGCAUAGUAAAGAGAUGAAAAUCAUUUUUAUAGCCGUAUCUCAGUUACAUUCAGCCAUUAUGAGAAUUGUUAAUGCAAUAUUCUUUGAUAGGGUAAAUCACUAAAAUGGUCCCUAAGAUUUGCAUAACUUAUCACUUUGGUCCCUGAGAUUCCAAAUCGGUAAAAGUGGUCCUUGAGAUUGUCCACCAUCCAUCAUUUUGGUCCUUCUGUUAAAAACUCUGUUAAGUGUCCCGGAGUUCUUGGCCGGAAGUUUGGGUAAUUUUCAAAGCUUCGCAACUCAAUCGUUUCUUAACCAAAUUCGACCCAUAAUAUAUCAAAAUUAAGAUAGGAAAGUGUAGAAUAAGAUUAUACCUCCCUGAGAUUGUCCACCAUCCAUCAUUUUGGUCCUUCUGUUAAAAACUCCGUUAAGUAUCCCGGAGUUCUUGG
rnacentral:lncRNA from 1 species